CGCAUAAUAAAUAUAAAACUAAAUUAAUUAAUUUACAAAAAAACAAAAAAGACUUAUCUUGAUUUAUUUUUUUUAUCCGAGCUGCUCCAUUUAGGAUUCCAGAUUCACCAUUAUUAAAAUGAUGGCCUUCUCCUUUUUCCUGCGCAGGCUCUCUUUGUACAAUUUGCUGGCCGGAGCUAGCUGUUCUUAACCAAAUUGGUCGAAUUUACUUUGCAUGGCCUGGACAGAAUUUUUUGCACACUGUGCUGAUAUAAUCUUCUCCACCUUCGAUCACGUAGGAAUNACAUAACAAAACAUGCCGCAUAAUAAAUAUAAAACUAAAUUAAUUAAUUUACAAAAAAACAAAAAAGACUUAUCUUGAUUUAUUUUUUUUAUCCGAGCUGCUCCAUUUAGGAUUCCAGAUUCACCAUUAUUAAAAUGAUGGCCUUCUCCUUUUUCCUGCGCAGGCUCUCUUUGUACAAUUUGCUGGCCAAUUCAUUACGAACACUCCGGAGCUAGCUGUUCUUAACCAAAUUGGUCGAAUUUACUUUGCAUGGCCUGGACAGAAAUUUUUGCACACUGUGCUGAUAUAAUCUUCUCCACCUUUGAUCACGUAGGAACAUUUUGUCACCUCAUAAAUUAAUUGCUCCGUUAUCUUCCUCCACAAUUCACCAAGCCUUAUAUUUUGCAAACCAGUAUAGAAUUUCUUGGUGCUGCCCUUCUCUUCAUGUUGUGGUUCCACUUAAUCCUUCUUGUUCACAAACAAAUCCAAGCCAUCCAGCUGGGAUUUAUUUGCUCUUUGUUAGCUUUGUUUUGUACUGAGACUAAAGCUUUCCGAGCAAAACUAGAACAAUAGUCAUGCUUCUAGGUACCACCAGUCAUCUCGUGCUCGUGUCAUCCAUCUACUUCUUUGUAUAAGUCAUCUCGUGCUCGUGUCAUCCAUCUACUUUAAUUCUAUACACCUUGUUAUCGAAGCUCUCAAACCCAGCUAGCUAGCUAGUUCACGUCUUCAAUCAACCAGCCCUGUAUUUUUAUGACUUGUUAUCCCUAUCUUUACUUUUGCGUCGAAUAGACGUUGCUGUUUUGGCGUGUGUUUGCCAGGCUUCCAUCCAUGCGAGCCUUUGCUCUGAUUAUAAAAUCUCGACCCAUCUUCACGUUGCUACUUGAAAGCCUCAAACUUAUCUCCUAUAAUAUGCAGCUGGAACUCCAAAUUGGAAUGCUCUUCCUCAACCAUGUUCUUCACUUCUUUUUGUUUAGCGAUAUACCACUAGUUCUCCACGAUAGUCUCCUGUUACACCCGCCUCUGUCUUCUUGAGAAGCUGGAUUGCUAGCCAGGAGAAUCUUUGCAUUGCUUCAGAGUCAUCCUUCUUCACCAUAUACAGGCUCAGAGGCAGAACAGAUAUGCAUUUGUCCCUGUUUUGGCUUCUAGUUUUGUCAUUCAGCAAGUCCCACGUCAGAUAACUUGACUUCACGGCACCUCAUCUUCGUAUGCAAUAUAGUCCUUGAAUCUCCUCAUCCUGGGCUUUAAAACCAUAUAUCCUUCUUCUGCAAAGUUAUUUACACAACCGCACAUGUAUAUAGUAGCCGCUCAAAUAUAACAAUUUAUAUUAGAGAAAAGACUUAUCUCGAUGAUAUUCACUCCACUACUACUGUUAGUUCUUCCUUAUUUAAUCUGCAACUAUAUUAGUCCUGCUCCUGUCACCAAUCUCCAAGUCCAAAUAUCAUAUGAACCACACGUUUAAAUUAUAAAACUCAUAUUUAAUCGCAAUAAACAAAACAAAGGAGAAAAAGCUUAUCUUUAUUUUCGUAGGAGCCUUUGCAAUUCUCGAGUUUUAUAUUGAUUUUGAAAUCCAAGCUUCUGUGUCUGUCAUUAUCUUUCAGAAACUGAUUGCUUCUUAUAAUUCUCAGGCUUAACGUGGAUUCUACGUCUUACUGCUUUUCUUCUUUCUUUUCCCUGUUCUUUUGCCAAAUCAUUGAGUAACGUCUCUGGACCUAUUCUCACAUGUAUUUACUCCAUACAGACCUUCGCUCUGCUAUGGUUGCCGCUUGUAUGCCAUACACCGGUUGACUCUCUCUGAGACAAGACACACAUGUAUACACGUACUUGUAACACCCAGAUUUUAGUAUAGUUGUUGCCGGAAUCGAACAAGCUUCCUGGAUGGUAUGCAGACAUCUACAACACGAUGUUAAUGUUAGUGUGUAACCCAGUGACAAAGUUGACAUCAACAUAACCAUAAGGCCAUAACCCAUGAACAUGUGGUUUGUUCCAAUUUUCUUUUUAAGCCACUAUUUUUCC
rnacentral:lncRNA from 1 species